CUCCGGGUCCAGGAUGAAAAGCUCAUCUUGGGAUAUCUCCGUCACAUAGUUCAAAUGCUCCUGGUGUUCAAAAGACAAGGAAGGCAUAUAACGGAACAUGAUGCAGUGGACCAUCUUAUUUGCUGGAAUACAAAAACAAAGCAGGAACGUGUGAGUUCACUGCAGCUGCUCCCACAUCUGUGCAAGACAGAGUUCUCCUGGGCCCAGCAGGAGUCGACAGAAUACAGUGAGGGCACACAGACUUGUUCCAGGCCAUGAUGAAAACUCCACCACUGACACAUUUACACACCUGGAGUACCAGUCGCUGGAAGGAGGGGUGAAAAGAGAU